UUUAUGCAGCAUCGAACAGUUUUGGGCCUACGUAUGUAGUUUUCUUCUCUUGGUUUCUUCAGGGUAACUUCCUUGGAGUGUGAGUUUCUUGUUGAUCCUUGCUUUGCAUUGACAGUGCAAAGUGAUCGGGCCAAGUUAGCUUGGGACAGGCCAUAAAUAAGUAUACUAGUUUUGCUGUGUGCCCAUUAGCAUUAAGAAUGAUCAUUUUUUACUCUUUUUUCCAAAGGUAUCAUUUCAUUUCCCACAAAAGUCCAAAAUGGCCGGAAAAAAGCAGAACUGAUUGCCCUUCAGUCGCCUGGUCUGAGGCCAUGCAUACAUAAUGGCAGGGAGAUCUUAAUCAGUGUCACGGACAUGAGUUCUUUGAGAAGGUCACAAAAGCCCUGCUCCGUCUCCCCAGAAAACGGCUGCCUAUAAUUGCAGGGGGUUCAAGCUCACGGUUUCCCGGGACAUUUGUGCAGAUGAAAUUGAUCAGCGGCAGGAGGAAGAUAGCUGUUGCCUAGGCAACCAGCCGAUGACUCAUCCUGGCUUUGAAGCAGCAAAAGCCAUGAGCCUGCAGUAAUUUUCCAGAUGCUUAACCUGUCCUCCUCCUUCUCUGUCUUUCUUUGUUUUCCUGUCUCCAUCCUUCAUUUCUUUCUGCACCCUCACUUCCCCGGGUCCUCCCUAAACUUGACACUGAGUGCGGCAGGAUCUCUGCAGGGGGUGGGUAUAGGGGGUGGUCCUGAGCUCCCCAGAGCAGUUAUGUGGACCUCAUCCCACCAGUAAUAGGUGGCUUUCCCUGCUGCUGCUCCUUAUGUCUCCUAACCGGGAAAUGGCCAGGCUGUCACCGUCGGUGCUGCAGAGCCCCCAAGAUGCUGCUUGUUGCCCUUGAUCAGAGAACCUCAAGUGAACCCGGCACUUUUUCUUUGAAUCUAAACUAAACGGAGCACACCCCUUUAUCUCAGAGAUCUGCAGUGUUCCUUUGAGGACAGACAGUUAUCCUGUGGGCCUCCCAAGCCAAGUUGCGCCAGUGACGUUUACAGGCGACAGAGGCCACAGUUGGCAGCUCUCUGGAUGCUGGGUUUUCCCAUCCUCCUUCGCUGACGUUCCCCACUCCUCAUCUUGUGUCUGAUGUUCCAGGCCCUUCUUAAUUAGCCAUUGCAAUCGUCUCUACAACGCGGAGUAUAGAAGCUUGAACCGUUCCCCUUCCAAAAGCAUUUUCAUUUUAACAAGGUUUUCAGAAGCAAAAUAUUUGAAAACUCAGGG